rnacentral:rRNA from 1 species
UACGUAGGGGGCUAGCGUUGUCCGGAUUUAUUGGGCGUAAAGAGCGUGUAGGCGGCUCGGUAAGUCCGUUCUGAAAGUCCAGGGCUCAACCCUGGGAUGCGGAUGGAUACUGUCGGGCUCGAGUCCGGAAGAGGCGAGUGGAAUUCCCGGUGUGGCGGUGAAAUGCGCAGAUAUCGGGAGGAACACCAAUGGCGAAGGCGGCUCGCUGGGACGUGACUGACGCUGAGACGCGAAAGCGUGGGGAGCAAACAGG